AGGAAAUGUUACUGAGCUGGCUGCCUCAAGUCCUUCAGGCGAUCUGGCCAUGGAGGUCCACAAUGCGCCUCCAGCAUCCAGCAGGUUGGAAUGUGAAGAAUGCCGAGGCGUGAGUCACACAGAGAUUAAGGCUUUCUGAGGAUUCGAAGGUUGCCAGGGCCAAACCCAGCAGGCAGCAGCAGUGAUUAAGGUGGAGGAUUAGGCCAUGGAUCAUCAGGAGAAAGACAGGACACAGCGGCCGCCCCCCCCAAUCCAUUAUGCAGGAGGUAGGACUCGCCACCCCCUGACUGAAGGAUGAAAGCUGAAAUGGUGACCAGAGGAAGGAAGGGGAGCUCACGAGAGUGACAGGAAGUUUGCACACAAGGACAGAGGAUGACAACUUCCUGUGUGGUGUUCACCGACUGCUGCGCUGUCAGAGGCUGGAC